CGCUCACUUCUGGGGGACGUGUCGGUGUUUACGUUAGCAGCAGGGAGCUAACGCUAGCUAGCUGUUAGUUUAUGUUUAAAGUUGCAGCACUUUCUGGAAUGGCUGCUUGUGCACGUUUUUACAGCAGUAUUGCAUGUGGCAGCCCACCCGGGAAGCAGCGGAGAUCUGGACUACUCCUACUCAUAUGGACUACUCAACAAAGUAGUUGCAACAGUGACUGAUAAUGGAUUCAACUUUGUCAAGGCGUUUAAAGUAUCAGCCUGUCACAGAAUCCAAUGAUGAGGAGGGAGAGUCUACCCCCACAGAUGAUGAUGAUGUCACUUUUUUAGAUGUGUCAGAAAUCCUCUCAGCUGAGGAUGAAAGUGAUGCCCAGCUGUCUCUUCCCCCGCACCACAGGUGUGCUUCACACACCAUCAACCUCAUUUCUACAAAUGAUGUGGAGAAAUAUUUAACUUCCAAUGCAGAGAGCAAGGCUGUGUAUAGGAGCAGCACAGCAAAAUGCACAGCUCUUUGGACCAAAUCAAGUAGAUCUACCCUUGCAUCAGAAACAGCAAAAGAAAGCUCUUGGUACCAACAUCCACAAGGCAGAAUUCCUUUUUUGAUGCUGUAAAGAGAAUUGCAGAUAUCCCCAUGACUGAGCUGAAUACUCUGUGCAUCAAGCUGGGAGUUAAGUGCUUCAAAGACAAAGAGUACCAGUUCCUGGAUGAGUACUGCACCGCCAUGAAGCCUCUGACAGCAGCACUGGACAUUUUGCAAGGCGACUGUCCUUAUGGGACUUUACUACCCAAACUUGAAGUUCUGAUGCAGAAGACCCUGGCUGUGAAAGAUGCCCUCUCCAGGAUGACUGCAGGCCUUCCAAAUGCCAUAGUGCAGGCUAUCCAGACACGUUUUGCCAGUGUGCUGGACGACAAAGAUGCUCUUCUCGCAGCUGCCAGUUGUCCAAAAUUCUAACUCCGAUGGCUGAGAGAUGCAGGUAGGAGGGAGCGAGGAAAAGAGCUUCUGACAGCAGAGUGCCGCCGCACAACAGCACAGAGCCCUGCCAGUGUGCCCACCACAUCUGACAGCCAAGGUGAGAUGGACUUUUUCACUUUUGAGGCAGAGCCAGAGGAGACCUACUCUGCAGAAUUGGAAUUCAUGAACUACCUGAGGUCAGCCUAUGACCUUCAGAUUGUGCAUCAGUUUCGUAACAUAAAGAAAAUGUUCUUAAAGUAUAACACUCCAACCCCAUCAAGUGCUCCUGUGGAGCAGCUUUUCAGUCUGAGAGGUUUGGUGCUCACUCCUAGAAGAAAAAUACUUUCUGACAAGAGGUUUGAGAAGCUUCUGUUAAUGAGGUACAACCACUGGUUUACUCGCCCCACUCCACUGUUUCACUCAUAACAUGCGAUUACAACAUAAGAUUAGGCCAAAGUUACAAAUGUUGACAUGAUAUCAGCCUACAUGGGGUGUUAUACACUUGUUUUGUUUUGUAAAACCACUCCUUGCUUCUCUAAUGCUGUGAACAACAGGUACAAUGUUCAUAAACAUGUUGAAAAAAAUGUAAUAGUUACAUUUAUAAACAAUGUAGAUCAUAAAUAGUAAGUUUUGCCAUUACAGUGUUGUCAAGAAAGACUGUCUUUAUUUUAUUUUUAUAAAAACAUGUAUUUUUUCAGGAAAUAGUUUUUAAGCUCAACUUAAAAUGUCAGGAGAUACAUUGUACAUUGUUGUUGUGUACAUAACUGUUAGGCGGGGUGUUGUCGGCAGUUGCUGAAUGUAACUAAUAAAGUAACUUGUAAUCUAAUUUAGUUACUUUUAAAAUCAAGUAAUCUAUAAAAUAGCUAAGAUACUUUUUAUAGGAGUAAUCAGUAAUCAGAUUACUUUUUCAAAGUAACUGUCGCACUACUGAGUAUAACCAGCAAAGCACCAUCACACCUACCCCUCCAAGCUUCACGUAGGAAACCACACACGUAACUCUUGACAAGGCAAACCUGUUAAUUGAAAACCAUUCCAGGUGACUACCGCAUGAAGCUGAUUGAAGAAAGCCAAGAGUGUUCAAGGCUGUCAUCAGAGCAAAAGGUGGCUCUUUUAGAAUCUAAAAUAUAAAACAUAUUAUGGUUUGUUUAAAACGGUAUGUGACUUUGUAGAAGUGAAACACAGAGUUUGUAUGGUCACAGCUGCUCAGUGAUUAACUGUGUCAUGAUCAGAGCAGAAUCUGCAGUUGGUUUGUACCGAACUGGAGUUUCUGUGUCCUCCUCGACUCUGCACUCACUGUAGCUAAUAAACACUCAUCACUAGUUAUCAGGACCUGAUCACCAGAUGAAGUUACUUAGUGUUUGUUUGAUUCGCUCCAGAGUUUGAGGCUGCAUUUAAAAAUCAUGAAAAUGACUCCUCAACAUGUUGUGCUCAGUACAACACAAGACGUGACGCUCACAGUCAGGACUCAGUGUUAAAAUGAGAGGAGCGACACGCAGACUUUAGAUUUAACAAUUAAUUGUGUAAAGGCUUAGUUGUUUGAUUUAAAAAAGAAAAGAAAAAAGUUUUAUUCAACCACCUAUAUUUGCUGAAAAUUAAAAGAGCAAAGGCUAAGGUGCCCCAAUCGUUUAGUAUAUUCGUUAUCUUUGAGUUUGUUUGUGGUUUGUUUAAGUUUGAUUUUAUUUAAUUUUUCAUCAUAAUCUUAAAAUUUGUAAAUUACCUUUAUUUUAAUGGGAUUGAAGCUUUAGAAUACACCAACUUGUAUCGGUAAAUGCCUUCAUCAGGGUGUACUGACACACAGAGACAAAGAGUAAUUAUUUGUAAUCACUUCAGGGAUGCAGGGUGAAAACAUGCAACACUGUCAGGGGAAAAAAUCGUAACAUUUAAACUGCCAUAAUUCAAACCGUCUAUUCUAUCAAAAAGCUGAGUACAUUUAAUACAUACAGUGGUGGCCAAAAUUAUUGGAACACCAGAGGUUUCAGUUGUUUUUGUUGAAUUGGCCAUUAAAAUACCCAUUAAACGAAUGAAAUAUCUACAAAGUCAUCAAUUAUGCUCUAUAAACCAUAGAAUAGAGCCAUCAUAAGGAGAUUUAGGUCAUUUUCCUUACAAAAAACAAGCUAGGCCUAUUUCACUGUCAAUGUUUAGACUGCCAUGAUGCCACCAAUUCACACCAGAACCGAAAGGGGAGAGGUAGAAAAAAGAAACUUUCUGACAGACAUAUGAAGCAUCUCAAAAUUCUCAGUCUUAAGGAUCGAAGAAAGGCCUCACGAGAACUGCGUGAUGAGAUCAACACCACAAUCACUGAUGAUGCAACAGUGUCUUCAAGAACUGUGCGACGGAAACUGGGGGAAGAAGGACUUGUUGGCAGAAUAGCAGCAAAAAAAAAAACAUUACUGAGAGAGAAAAAUGGAGUGAAAUGCCUGAAAUUUGCAAAAGAACACAAGAAAUGGACAAAGGAAGAUUGGUAUAAAGUGUUGUGGACUGAUGAGUCCAAGUUUGAAAUUUUGGCGACAAGCGAAGAGUGUUUGUUCGACGGAGGGUGGGGGAAAGAUAUAAAAAUGAGUAUCUCUUGCCAACAGUUAAAUACGGAGGGGGUAGUAUUAUGGAGUGGGGUGCCAUUUUCUAACUAUUGCCGGAACUACCUGCGACAGAAGGAAUCUGCUGGAACAUUGAAAAUGAUGGACUUGAACCCCAUUAAGCAAAUUUGGGGCGAGUUGGAAAAUAAACUGUAAAGAUCUAUUGUACAUUCAAAGGAAGCCUUUAGCUUGAGUUGCAGAAGGCAUGGGAUAAAAUUAGUGUUGAAGUUCUCAGGAAAUAUAUUGACAAUAUGCCAAAGAGAUGUGCUGCUGUAAUUGCUGCAAAAGGUGGACAUACCAAAUAUUGAAGUUAAAAGUGGAUAAAAACAGUAGGACUCACUUCAUCUGUUAUUUGUUUGUGCCCAGAGCAACCAUCUGCAUGUUUCAUGAACAUUAUGAAAUUAAAUCAUGUUUUGUAGGCAAAAAAAGGUCAAUUUUGUCAGAUCCUAAAGGUGUUCUAAUAAUUUUGGCCACCACUGUAUAUAUAUGUUUAGCUUAAACUAUGCAGAAGUAGUUUAUUUGAACAGUCCAUUCAUUAUCCAUUCACACAUAUUCAUACAGUGCAUCUAUGGGCACUUUUUUCUACAAGGGGCCAUCCAGGGUUCAGCAUCUUGCCUAAGGACAAUUCGGCAUGCAGGCUGGGAUUGAACCGCUGACUUUCUGUUUGGAGGACGACAGAUCUACCCCUCAGCCACUGCCGCCCGCCCACAGUUUGAAUGCACACAAGGCAGAAUCAACAUUCACACUUAAUGUCACAACACUCACCACAGUGAUAGGUUUCAUAAAUUCUGGUAAGAUUUACACCUUAUGCCAGAAAUUCGAUUUAAAAACUAGAAUAAAACCGUCUAUUUUAAAGUGGAUGGGGUUCAGUUUUUGAAUGCGGAAAUCCUGCUUAUUGCACAGCACAGAGCACAGUAGUUUGUUGAUUUAAAUUGUGAAACUUUUGACUACAUGCAAAACUGUUAUCAGCUAAAGUUCUUACAGCACGUUCAGACUUUCUAUUGCUGGUUUUUGUUGCAUGAAAGAACACAAUUGCUGUAAAAUCAUCUGCUAAAUGAUCGUCACAUUUUAAAAUGUUUCUGAUUUUAUGACACCAGUUUAUUUAUUUGUUUAUUGAUUAUCAGAAAAAUGCUUGCAACUGUUUUGAGUAUAUAUUCAUAUUUUUUAUUGAUUUUCCUGGCGAAAUGUCAACAUAAAUCCUCUUUACACCCUCCAAAAUUUCCGCUCUUCUCUGUUUUCCAUCUUUAUGAACUGUUUUUCCUAGGGAUUUGGUCGUUGAUCUGAAGCCGCCUCCUUGGAUCCUGGGAAACUGGAUCAGAGAUAUUUUAUAGACAAAUCCAUUAAUUGAUUUAGAAAAUAGUGGUAAAACUGAAUGAUAUUGAAAAUCAGCACCUCUAGUCAUUACUCAAAGCAGGGAUGUCAACACAGAACACUGGUUAUUAAGCUUCUUUAAGCUGACUUGUAUAAACCUUGUUUAGUGCACCAUACGUGACAAGAAUACAGUUAAUAGGUUUCUGUCAUUGUGUUUCUUUGCUGUUGGUUCAUCAGGUGACACCCCAGAGAAAGAGAGAGCUCCCCACACCCUGCUGGACUGGCAGGAGAGCAGUGAGACUGAAGAUAAGCAGCAGCCAUCUUGCUCCAAAUACACACCACAGAGUGUACCAGCAAAGUCCUCAUUCAGUCAAACAAGGACAAAUGUGGCCUGUGCCUUCCCAACUGUCCCAAGAAUGCCUGAGUGCAACAUGGAUGGGGUGAACCAUGAAUCUAAACUGGACAUCCUUGUAAUAAACUCAAACAGCUGCAGGGAGGCGCCGUCUUUUGGAAGGGGUUGAGAUGAUGAAGAGAAACCUCGUAGCAAUGUCAGGUCCCAGUAUCAGCCACUGCUGUGUAUUCAGAUCAGUGACUCCCCCAGUGAAGUGAUCUUUAACAGCCCCCCUGUUUCAAUCACAACAGUGGGGUCCCAGCAUCAGCAAACACAAUAUUCAUGGUCUGAAAUGGGGCAGAUGCACAGUGCUUGCUCCUCCAGUAAAAAACACGCCGUUAUGCCCACCAAUGCAAGCUGCGCAUCCAUGAGCGCGUCCACACGGGAGAGAAGCCAUGCCAGUGCACCCAUUGUGGGAAAAGCUUCGGCCAGUUCUGCGGCCUCAAGCGCCAUCAGAUGGUUCACACGGGGAAGAGGCCCUUCCCCUGCCCACAUUGCGGGAAGCAGUUGGCAACCUCCACCAACCUGACGGUCCACCAGAGUGUCCACACUGGGGAGAGGAAGUUCAACUGCUCCAAGUGUGGCAAGAACUCUCCUUCCUCAGCAACCUUAUCAGACACCAGGCUCUGCACUCUGUGAAGUAGAGCCAGUUACACCCUGUAUCGUCUUUUGGGAACAAAAUAAUAUGAGCAGCUUACAGUAGGCUGCAACAAGAACAAAACCACAAUGACUGAGGGCUGUUUGUCAUAUUCACAUGUUUGUGUCAUGGUCACAUGUUGUGUUAUGUUGCCAUUAUUGUGUACUGCUUAUAUUAUAGUGUCAUGUUCACGUUGUGUAACAUGCAUAUUAUUUAACAUAACAUCCAAUUCUUUAUUUGUUUACCUCAGUGAAAGUUGGAACCACAGUUAACCGCCACUCUUGUUAGUCUUUUGUAUACCCAACAUGGUGAAACAUGACAAAUGAAGUAACCAAAGUUCUCCAACUUAUGUUAUAAAACAUGAACUGCCUGUGCCAGUGGAUAACAUUAAUGCUACUUCUUUAACUGCAGUUUCCACCUCAAUUCAGCUAAAAGUAAAAAAAAGUUUUCAAAGCACCUAAAGGUUUAAGUAAACACAGAUGGAAAGCAACAGUUUGACCACUGUGAUUAGUGAAUCAUUUUGUUGCUAGACUUCAACCAGAGCUGCUGAAGCAGCAGUAUAGAGACAGGGAAACUGACUUACGAUGAGAGACAUGGGGGAGGAGGACAGAGGUCAAUAGGGAGAGGCAAUGAGAAAUGAAGAAAGAAGGUUAUGAUUCGGAGAUUGACAGCAAACAGACAUACGGUGUUACUGUUAUGUCUCUAUAUAUAAACAAUAUAUAGAGCUUUUGCUAUGUGUUAUUUAUGGUACAAUUUGGAAUAAUCUUGCCCUGUCCGUUUUUCCAAAUGACAGGGCUGAGGACUAACCUAUAGAACUAACUGGCAGAUGAUGCUCAUAUGAUACCGAACUGAAAUUGGAUGAUGAACAAAUAUUUCCCAAAAUUAUGCUCAAUCACAUUUCCCCAAAAUUAGUACUGUAGCAUAGUAAGCAGGAGACCCUGAAUCUGUGACGUGAUUUUGGUGACAAUAUACAGUAUGAGACCGAAGUUAUUGAAUAAUAGUCAUAUUUAAUAUUUCCCCAAAUAAUGCUAAAUCACUUUUUCCCAAACUUAGUACUGUAGCAUAGUCAGCAGGAGACCCUGGACCUUUGACAUGAUUUUCAUAUUUGUCCGCCUGAAAAAGGCUACAAGGAGCCGCAGUAGCUAUGUAAAUAAACAAUCGAUGAAGAAGAAAGAAGGCGUCUCUCAGGUCGUCUUCGACAAAAAGCAUUACUCCGCCUAGUGUUCUGGCGCGGAAUUGCUUUGUAAGAUGCGCAACGGUUGGGGAAGCAUGAAUGACAACGAGUCUUGCGCCACAGCGGCGUGAAAAGACGCAGACGCAGUCGCAGAAGCAUGUUUCAGGCUUAAGCAAGCUGUACGUAGACACCAAUGUUCUGUGCCCGUCACGGAGGACGACUCAUAUUGAUGAUAAUAACUGGCCUGUAGCCCGUUGUCCACAUUACUACUGUGGAAAUUAUGCAGCGUUUGUGCUUUAACAACAUUUCGCUUAUGACUUACUGAUCCGGGAAGUCCGAAUCUGUGAAUAUCUUGCCAACUUUACUGGACUCGGAGCCGCAGGGAGAACUUGGCGCUGAAGAGCCGCCUGUGGAUGAUGGAGGUCCGAGCCGGGGAGAGCUCCCAUAGAGAGCCCUUACCGUCUAUGGUGGUCACCUGUGCUCGGAGAGGUUAGCUCGCUCCGUCACAAACUAAUGCAUCUAAUUACUAACACUGACAUGGGUCCAGUCAUAAAUAUAGCAUUUUAACAUCAUGAUAUUGCUGCUGUCUGCUCUGAUGCUCCGAUGAUCAUUGCAGUUCACUGAUAAGUCGAUGAGCCAAUCCACAUUAAUUUAAACAGCAAGUAAUCAGAAUAUUUGUGUUAUACCCAAUGAAUAUCAAUUUAACCGUGUCAGCUUGUGCAUUGUAAGAAUUUGAUGUUUUAGUCACGUUGAAUAAUACACUGAAUACUCGUGGAUUGUUGAUCUGAUGUUAUAAAUUACACUCUUUACACGGUA